rnacentral:lncRNA from 1 species
AUUUGCAGAUAUGACAAGAUCAUAACAUUCUUUUUCUCUAAUUGUCUAAUCUUCUAAAAAUAAGGUUGAUUUUAUCUGUAAAGAAGGUUUAACUGUGAAACCAGAGGCCAUUGUUACUUCUGACUAGUAGUAGUAAAGAAUUAAUGAAACCUAGCUAAUGUCUUCUGGUUUGAUUUGCAGAUAUGACAAGAUCAUUACAUUCUUUUUCUCUAAUUGUCUAAUCUUCUACAAAUAAGGUUGAUUUUAUCUGUAAAGAAGGUUUAGUCACUAUAAGUUUAAGUAUAAAAUAAUCUUUACUCUGCAACAGUGAUAAACUGUUGUUUUAUUUGCCCACGUGAUUUUUUUUUUCUCUUCCCAAUUUUUUUCUGCUGUGUUUAGGAUGGAUUAGAUAGAAAUCAGUAGUAUCAUGAUGGACUUUAUGUGACCUGCUAUGAUAGUUAAGGUUAUUUUUAACUCACUUUAGUCCUCUUAACUUGUUGUCGAUAUUGUGAAAAUUUGUCGUAUGGUCCAAAUUUUAAAUCAUCUGUGGAUAUCUUUGAUGUAAUUGGUAGUCUCGGACCAGCGAACCAUGGAUGUAAUUAUAGGUGCAAUGUUAAGGGUUUUGGAAUUUCAAAGAUUAGAACCGUGGUGGCAUGAGCUAUAAUGUCUGUCAGCAAUAUCAAGGGUUGCCACAUUUGUGACCAUUAUUUUGAACCUCAGAAUAGAACAAGGGCAAGUUGGAGUGAGGAUUUGAUUGGAACUCUUUCUUGAUCACGGCAAAGUCUCUCAGCAUUUUGGUAAUGUUCUCAUAUAUCCUUGUGUUCCACCUUUAUUUGCUGUGAAUCAAUGUCCUGUUUUCUGUGCUUGUUUUGCUUUGCUCUGUUCAACAGAAAGUUUUCCAUUAGCUUACUUUAAUUGUAUUAGUUUUUCACAAAGUUUAUUUUUAAUAUAUGCCUAUCUUUUAACUUUGUAAUGGAUAACUUCUUUAUGAAUUAUCAAAACAUGUGAAUUAUAAAAUCUUUUUUUAUGCAUUUUGUGUAGGGACUUUUUUAAUUUUAGUUCUUGUUUUAGUUUUUGUUUAGUAUUGGUUACUCUUAAUUGACAUCAAUAGAAUUAUUAACUUGGCAUUGUUGUGGUAAUAAAAAGUGUUAUUUGAACAUGUGACGUUAUGUGAUGUAUUUACAGGGAUUAAAAUAAGAAAUAUUUUGUUUACGAGAUUAAAA